UACGUAGGGAGCAAGCGUUGUCCGGAAUCAUUGGGCGUAAAGCGCGCGUAGGCGGCCCUGUAAGUCCGCUGUGAAAGUCAAAGGCUCAACCUUUGAAUGCCGGUGGAUACUGCAGGGCUAGAGUCCGGAAGAGGCAAGUGGAAUUCCUGGUGUAGCGGUGGAAUGCGCAGAGAUGUGGAGGAACACCGAUGGCGAAGGCAGCCCCUGGGUCAAGAUUGACGCUCAUGCACGAAAGCGUGGGGAGCAAACAGG
rnacentral:rRNA from 1 species